rnacentral:rRNA from 1 species
UACGUAGGUGGCAAGCGUUGUCCGGAUUUAUUGGGUUUAAAGGGUGCGUAGGUGGUCUAUUAAGUCAGUGCUGAAAUAUCCCGGCUUAACCGGGAGGGUGGCAUUGAUACUGAUGGACUUGAGUGGAGUUGAGGUAGGCGGAAUUGACGGUGUAGCGGUGAAAUGCUUAGAUAUCGUCAAGAACACCGAUAGCGAAGGCAGCUUACUAAGCUCUAACUGACACUGAGGCACGAAAGCGUGGGGAUCAAACAGG